UGAGAAACGUGCCCAUAACUCUGGGAUAACCUCCGGAAACGGUGGCUAAUACUGGAUAUCUAACACGAUCGCAUGGUCUGUGUUUGGAAAGAUUUUUUGGUUAUGGAUCGGCUCACGGCCUAUCAGCUUGUUGGUGAGGUAAUGGCUCACCAAGGCGACGACGGGUAGCCGGCCUGAGAGGGUGACCGGCCACACUGGGACUGAGACACGGCCCAGACUCCUACGGGAGGCAGCAGUGGGGAAUAUUGCACAAUGGGCGAAAGCCUGAUGCAGCAACGCCGCGUGAGGGAUGACGGCCUUCGGGUUGUAAACCUCUUUUAGUAGGGAAGAAGCGAAAGUGACGGUACCUGCAGAAAAAGCACCGGCUAACUACGUGCCAGCAGCCGCGGUAAUACGUAGGGUGCAAGCGUUGUCCGGAAUUAUUGGGCGUAAAGAGCUCGUAGGCGGUUUGUCGCGUCUGCUGUGAAAUCCCGAGGCUCAACCUCGGGUCUGCAGUGGGUACGGGCAGACUAGAGUGUGGUAGGGGAGAUUGGAAUUCCUGGUGUAGCGGUGGAAUGCGCAGAUAUCAGGAGGAACACCGAUGGCGAAGGCAGAUCUCUGGGCCAUUACUGACGCUGAGGAGCGAAAGCAUGGGGAGCGAACAGGAUUAGAUACCCUGGUAGUCCAUGCCGUAAACGUUGGGCGCUAGAUGUGGGGACCAUUCCACGGUUUCCGUGUCGUAGCUAACGCAUUAAGCGCCCCGCCUGGGGAGUACGGCCGCAAGGCUAAAACUCAAAGGAAUUGACGGGGGCCCGCACAAGCGGCGGAGCAUGCGGAUUAAUUCGAUGCAACGCGAAGAACCUUACCAAGGCUUGACAUAUACCGGAAACGUUCAGAAAUGUUCGCCCCGCAAGGUCGGUAUACAGGUGGUGCAUGGUUGUCGUCAGCUCGUGUCGUGAGAUGUUGGGUUAAGUCCCGCAACGAGCGCAACCCUCGUCGUAUGUUGCCAGCACGUAAUGGUGGGAACUCAUAUGAGACUGCCGGGGUCAACUCGGAGGAAGGUGGGGAUGACGUCAAAUCAUCAUGCCCCUUAUGUCUUGGGCUUCACGCAUGCUACAAUGGCUGGUACAAUGGGCUGCAAUACCGCGAGGUGGAGCGAAUCCCAAAAAGCCUGUCUCAGUUC
rnacentral:rRNA from 1 species